rnacentral:tRNA from 1 species
GGGUCGUUAGCUCAGCCAGGUAGAGCAGCGGACUUUUAAUCCGUUGGUCGCAGGUUCGAUCCCUGCACGACCCACCA